CCCGGGCCUUGUACACACCGCCCGUCACACCAUGGGAGUUGGUUUUACCUGAAGGCGGUGCGCCAACCCGCGAGGGGGGCAGCCGACCACGGUAAGGUCAGCGACUGGGGUG
rnacentral:rRNA from 1 species